GCCGAGGUAGCUCAGUUGGUAGAGCACAUCACUGAAAAUGAUGGGGUCCCCAGUUCAAGUCUGGGCCUCGGCA
rnacentral:tRNA from 1 species